rnacentral:rRNA from 1 species
UACCCGCGGCCCGAGUGGUGCUCAUUAUUAUUGAGCCUAAAGCGUCCGUAGCUGGCCGGGUGAAUCUCCGGGUAAAUCGGGCGGCCCAACCGUCCGAAUGCCGGAGACACUGCUCGGCUUGGGAUCGGGAGAGGGUGAAGGUACUCCCGGGGUAGGGGUAAAAUCCUGUAAUCCGGGGGGGACCACCAGUGGCGAAGGCGUUCACCUAGAACGAGUCCGACAGUGAGGGACGAAGCCCUAGGGCG